UCGCGCAGGCGAAGCGACGCGCCCGCCCUGCCCUCGGGGGAAGGGGCUCGGAGGGCGGGUCCUCUGUUUACAUUAUUCACUAUAUAUCCCUUAUUUAUUUACUGUUUAUUUAUUGUUGCCGUUUGCUUGUACAGCCCUAGAAUGACGGGGUUGUGCCCUAUUGAAAUGCCAUGGGUGGGACACGAAUAAGUCCCGUUAUGGGAAUCCGACCUGAGGAAGGGGGAGAGACUGUUUGGCAAUGAUCGAGGAAUGUUGUUGUUAAUAUUAUUUAUUGCAUUAAGAUAUCCCGCCUAUUUUUCUUCAAGGAGCUCAAGGUUCUCUCUGCCCCCCUUCCUUCCUUCUCAUUUAAUCCUCCACGACAACCCUGUGAGGUAGGUCAGGCUGAGAAAAGGAAGCGACCGUGGCCCAAGGGCAAAACCAGUGAACUUAACGAUGGCCGAGUGUGUGCGGGGAUUCGAAACCUGGUCUCCCCUAGGCCAGAGCUGGACACUUUUAAGCAUUGCGGCACCCUGGCUCUCAAGCAGACUAGUUUGUGUCUGUCCCGAAUCCUCUCUCUCAGCCUCUUGGGACGAGCUUUGCUUGUAGUAUUAUGUUGAGGCUUUUCCUAACCACUCUCUCCACAAAUAAUGUUUAAUAUGCCUCUUUGUCACAGGGAGUAAACCAGUCUUUUUCAACAGUGGGUGUGUUACAGGAUUUGAAAAAGCUGUGGGCGCCAGUCACAAAAUGGCUGCCAGAGAGUGGAGCAGAAGCAAGCAGUUUGUAUGCUGUCACAAUGCUGCAGUGGAGCUUUGCAGAUAUUCAGAGCGGCCCUUGCCACCUGCUUUGUAUUGUGCUGUUCUUCUCCCAAUAUUGUAUUCCCUACCACCACCACCGUCUUCCAAGAGAUCACUCUUUCUCCCCCACAGUGAUGGAGUAAUUGUCCUGCACAUGAGUGACAAAAGCACAGGUUGGCUAAUCACUGUCUUGCAGCAAACAUGAAAUACAAUUCAGGUUUCUAGUGCAUCUUUACAUUGUUAUCUCUCUUGAUUGUAGAAGUUCAGCUACAAACCUGGAGAAGGAGGCGGCAGCUCUUCUGAGUUCUAUGCAGAUGAAGUUCAUUUAUAACAAUGAUGCAGGAUAAGAGCCUUCUCUGUGGUGGUGCCCCAUUUGUGGAAUGCCCUCUCUUUAUGGGUUCAUCAGGCACCAACACUUGUUUCAGGAUAAAGCAAAGCUAUACAGUGUUGGUGUCUAAGGACGUACCAAGGCCAGCAUUCCAGGUCUCUGGAAAUCUGCUCAAGAAGACGGCCACCCUGUUUUCAUACUGUCAGGGAUCUGUUGGCUGAGAAGGGGGAAGAGAUUGGAAUGUACAGGGAGCCGCCUCCUUUAAUGAGCAGCUGCACUUCCUCCGAGAGAGAAGAGGAGGAGGAGCUGUCAGGAAACACGGAAACAGAGUGAAAGGAACAGCCUCCAAAGCUUGGAUUUUUAUGUAGGGAGAGGAGGAAAAGUGGAAACGGAAACGGAAACGGAAAAGACAAGAGCCACUUCCGGCAUCUGAUAGCGACUGAGGAAGACAUGCUUUUAAGAGCUCUGGACUGUACAUAGUUUUUGGACUUAAUAAAUCUUGUAAAAGCUGG